rnacentral:rRNA from 1 species
GGUAAUUCCAGCUCCAAUAGCGUAUAUUAAAGUUGUUGCAGUUAAAAAGCUCGUAGUUGAAUUUCGGGGUCAGUAGGUUGGUCGUGCCACCGGUACGUACUGGUCUCACUGAUUCCUCCUUCCUGAUGAGCNGUAAUGCCAUUAAUUUGGUGUUGCNGGGAAUCUGGACUGUUACUUUGAAAAAAUUAGAGUGUUUAAAGCAGGCUAACGCUUGAAUACAUUAGCAUGGAAUAAUGAAAUAGGACGUUCGAUCCUAUUUUGUUGGUUUCUAGGAUUGACGUAAUGAUUAAUAGGGAUAGUUGGGGGCAUUAGUAUUCAAUUGUCAGAGGUGAAAUUCUUGGAUUUAUUGAAGACUAACUACUGCGAAAGCAUUUGCCAAGGAUGUUUUCAUUAAUCAAGAACGAAAGUUAGGGGAUCGAAGACGAUCAGAUACCGUCGUAGUCUUAACCAUAAACUAUGCCGACUAGGGAUCGGAUGAUGUUAAUUUUUUAAUGACUCA